AUGCACAACAUGAUCGUCGAGGACGAGCGUGAUGACAAUAUUUUCGACCAUGGAUUUGACUAUCAAGGUGACAAUGUUGAGCCCUGCAUCAAGAACCGGCCACGUUUGAUCAGUUCUGUCAGUUCCAUCGUGAGCUGCGUGAUUGGCACACUCAUAAGGCUCUUCAAAAUGACUUGGUUGAACAUGUCUGGGAGCAUAUUGGCAACCGAUAGAUGUAUUGGUUCGUUUUAUGUUCAUUCAAAACAAUUUCGAUUUGGUUGUAAGACUAUCUUUAUUAGAGACAAUUUUGAUUGGGUUGUAAAACUAUUUUAA
rnacentral:rRNA from 1 species